rnacentral:rRNA from 1 species
UUGGAGGAAAGCAGGGGAUCGUAAGACCUUGCGCUUUUGGAGCGGCCGAUGUCUGAUUAGCUAGUUGGUGGGGUAAUGGCCUACCAAAGCUUCGAUCAGUAGCUGGUCUGAGAGGACGGCCAGCCACACUGGGACUGAGACACGGCCCAGACUCCUACGGGAGGCAGCAGUGGGGAAUUUUGGACAAUGGGCGCAAGCCUGAUCCAGCCAUGCCGCGUGAGUGAAGAAGGCCUUCGGGUUGUAAAGCUCUUUCAGCCGGGAAGAAAAGGCUGCGAUUAAUAAUCGCAGUUCAUGACGGUACCGGAAGAAGAAGCACCGGCUAACUACGUGCCAGCAGCCGCGGUAAUACGUAGGGUGCGAGCGUUAAUCGGAAUUACUGGGCGUAAAGGGUGCGCAGGCGGUUUUGUAAGUCAGAUGUGA